ACCUGUCACGCCGUGGUCACUUGCCCUUUCUUUUGUGUCAUCAGUCUGACGUCAUCCGUGUUCCCUGAUUGUUUCCACCUGUUCCCUAUCAUCUCAUCCGCAUAAGGGAGGGGGAUGAGUUGAAGACUGGUUUUAACACUCCCAGUGGACACUAUGAGUAUUUAGUCAUGCCAUUUGGUCUCACCAAUGCUCCUGCUGUAUUUCAAGCCAUGACAAAUGAUGUGCUAAGAGACUUCCUAGACCAUUUUAUUUACGUGUACCUUGAUGACAUUUUAAUUUAUUCUACAAACAAUGAGACUCACAAGGUCCACGUGACCAAGGUCCUUAAAAGGCUACAAGAGAACCAGCUAUUUGUCAAAGCCGAAAAGAGUGAGUUUUAUGCCAACACUAUCGCUUCUUGGGCUUUAUCGUAGCUCCUGGAGGAGUUAAAGUUAAAGUUAGCGCCGUAGCCGACUGGCCUACUCCUGAUAGCCGGAAGAGGGUUCAACAGUUCUUGGGGUGCUGUUCCGCUGGUCUCCAGAGGCUGAAAGGGCGUUCCAGAACCUCAAGCAUCGCUUCACUUCAGCUCCCAUCCUCACCAUGCCAGAUCCCCAACGCCAGUUUGUGGUAGAGGUGGAUGCCUCCAACAAAGUAAUCGGAGCCGUCCUCUCCCAACGAUCGGAGAAGGAUGGUAAAAUGCAUCCCUGCGCCUUCCUGUCAAGACGCCUAUCCAAAGCUGAGAGGAAUUUGGAUGUUGGUAACCGUGAGCUGUUGGUGGUCAAAAUAUCUCUGGACGAGUGGAGGCACUGGCUAGAGGGGGCCAGUUUCCCGUUCAUUGUCGGGACUAACCAUAAAAAUCUUGAGCCAGGGUCCCGAAACGUCAAACCAGAUGCCCUGUCUCGAAUGUUCGACCCCGAGCCUGUUGCCAAGGUACCUGAAACUAUCCUUCCACUUACCCGUGUGGUUGGAGUAGUCACCUGGCAAAUAGAAGAUGAGGUGAUCCACUGGGCUCACACCUCCCUGCUUUCAUGCCACCUGGGAGUUCGGAGAACGAUGUUCGCCAAUCAACUCUCUGCGGUUUUGGUGGCCAUCCAUGGAGCCGGAGGUACGAGAGUACGUGGAGGCAUGUUCGGUCUGCGCUCGGAACAAGACGUCCUCUGGAUCCCGUAUGGGCCUAUUGCAGCACCUACCCAUUCCCUCCAGACCUUGGUCCGACAUUUCCAUGGACUUCCUUACGGGGCUCCCGGUCUCUCAAGGUAACACCACCGGCCUCACGGUGGUGGACCGUUUCACCAAAAUGGUGAGAUUCAUUGCCUUGCCUAAGCUGCCCUCUGCCAAUGAGACAGCAGAAAUCAUGAUAAACAAUAUUUUUAAGAUUCAUGGCUUCCCUAAAGACAUUGUCUCCGACCGGGGGCCCCAGUUCGUGUCACGUUUUUGGAAGGAGUUCUGCAGGCUCAUCGGAGCUAAGGCCAGCCUGACUUCAGGUUAUCACCCAGAGGCCAACGGCUCGACCAAACGCCUCAAUCAACAACUGGAAAACUUCCUCCGGUGCCUGGUGUCCCAAAACCCCCCUACAUGGAGCAAACACCUGGUCUGGUCUUUCCAGACAAUGAGCUGGAAGUGUCGGUCCCCUCGGCACAUGCCAUGGUCCGACGCUGCCGACACAGCUGGGCAGCAGCUCGUCAGGUGCUGAUUCAACAAGGAGACCGAGUGAAGAGGCGACCCGCCCCUGCAUAUUGACCAGGGCAGAGAGUAUGGCUCUCAGCCAACAAAACAAAGUUUUGUUGGCUGAGAGCCUGUCUGCACCUGGAAGCCUGUCUGCACCUGGAAGCCUUCCCCAAUGUUCUUCGUCAAGGGUGACGCUUCCGGGAAGACGGCAUGGCGUCAUCUUCGGACCAAAUGGAUCUUAUUGCGCGCAGCACCGCCAACGAAGCCUUGUCCAAAUGAUCAUCUGCGAAGGAGCUCUUAUGCUGGGAUCUUUCUGUCAGGCUAGGACAUGGAUUGAGUGUGCUCCUUCGACGCAGAGGGAUUACAGGACGAGCCAGGCGUGAAUUAAGGUACAUGAUGUUUUAUUUGGAAUUCUAAAUAAAAAAAUAAACAAACUAAGGGCGCUCAUAUGAAGGUAUAAAACUUGGCUACAAAAUAUAAACAGGAAACAAAAACAGUUGCUCGAUAGGCAUGAAUGAACUAUGAACAGAAACAGCACGAUGGCAUGACUAUAAACAACUAAAACUAAACACUUACUGUGACAACAAAAACAAGAGGCAAGAAUAGCAAGGUGCGUGGCAGGUGAUCGUGCGCAUGGAGAAUGAGCAGCAAGGUUGUAGAUUACAAUGAAAGUUAGAACGGCAUGGGUAAUGAAAGUUAAUGUUCCCAGACUGAUGGACAGAAAGAAAUUGACUUAAAUAGUGGCUGUGAAUAAUUAGGAACAGGUGCGGGACUGAGGGCAUGGGCGUGACUAGGAGGGCAAGGUGAAAAGCAAUGAGUUGUCAUGGUAACAGAACAAACCAGGAAGUGAAAAAACGGAACAAGAGUCCAGAAAAAGAAACAAAACAUGAUCAAACUUAAAAUCAGAUUUACAGGUGUGACACAAAUAUGCUUAUAUUUUCGCUCUACAUUGAUAAAAAAAGGACUUUUUUUAUUAAUCACUCCAACAAAAUCAUACACAAUACUACGAUAAUAGCACAAUUUCAAUUCCAAAACCAAACUAAAGGCCAGAGGGGACAGAGCCUUUUCCAUUGCCGCCCCUCAGCUCUGGAACAGCCUUCCCCUUCACAUUAGGUCAGCCCAGAGCCUGGGAAUUUCAAAACCCUUCUUUAAGACCUUCCUCUUCUCGCUGGCCUUUGACCUUAGCUGAGCCUGCCCACUAGGCCACCAUUUUCUAGUCCUACCCCCACACCCCUUUGCUUUAGUUUUAUUUUUCUAUAUGUCGCAUUUUUUAUUACUCACUCCCACUCACUCACUCAUCCUAUGGCCUAGGAGGCCGUAGGGGUGUCAUGGUGGAUGCUUGGGCUGUCAGUGAUCUCCAGCACUCAAAAUCUUCUGCUGUUCGUAGCAGGGUUUGGAAGCUGCAGCCAGUCCAUUCUUUGAUGUUGUCCAUCCAGGCCUUUCUCUGCCUGCCUCGUCUCCGCUUCCCCUCUACUGUUCCCUGCAGGAUGGUCUUUGACAGGGAGGUGUGCCUUGUGACAUGGCCAAACCAGGUCAGCUUGCGACGUUUAACCGUUGAGAGUAGAGGUUCCUGUUCGCCAGCACGGGUGGACUGUAUCCUGCGCUCUGUGUCCACUGUGAGCGUCCAUCUCUCACAACCAUAGAGUAGGGUUCGUAAGAACAAGUGACUUGUAGAGUCUGACCGUCACCUGGAAACUGAUGGUAUUUCUUUUCCAUAUACUGGUCAGUCUUGUCAUGGCUGAUGUUGCUAUGCCUAUUAUUGCUCUGAUCUCUUUUGUGGAGCUGCCAUCUUCACUCACAAAGGACCCAAGGUACUUAAAGUCCUUUUCUUCCUCCAGGGUUUGUCCAUUCAAUGUGAUAUUUGGUGGUGGUAAGUGAUUGUGACUGUUGACCAGGAUCUUGCUCUUCUCUGCACUUAUCUCCACUUAUCCAUCUAUAUCUUAUAUUUUUAGUACUAUGGUUUUUAUUUAACAAAUGUUUUACUUUUUAUUCAACCCCUUUUACCGUAUUGCUUUUUACACUAUUUUUUUCAGCUUAUUCAUUGGUUAUGUUCUUUGUUUGUUUUCUGUUUCUGUUGCUCUAUGCUUUUUUUUUUUUUUUACCUGUAAAGCACUUUGGUUCAAUUUAAAAGUUGUUGUAAACGUGCUAUAUAAAUAAACUUGACUUGACUUGACGUGACUUGACUUGACUUGACUUGACUUGACAAACCCGGCCCAGCAACAUGCAGAAUAGAAAUCAACAGAGCAAUUGAGAAGACACACAAACAUGACACAAAACAAUCCGAAAUAAGUCAAACAAAAAUAAAGGAUAUCACAGUAUCAAUAUUAAUACAAAUUCCAACAUGGCAGUGAUUAGAAAUCCCUCAUUUACAUUAUCAUCACAGCCAUUUAUAAGAAAUGAAAUACAAACAUUUAAAAAUUAACAAUAGUUCCACAGUGGCUUACGCUUGCUCAGGUGUCUUGUGGUUAGAGUGUCCGCCCUGAGAUCGGUAGGUUGUGAGUUCAAACCAAAAACUAUAAAAUGGGACCCAUUACCUCCCUUCUUGGCACUCAGCACCAAGGGAUGGAAUUCGGGCUUAUAUCACCAAAAUGAUUCCAGAGCUCUGCCUCCGCUGCUGCUUACUGCUCCCCUCACCUCCCAGGGGGUGGAACAAGGGGAUGGGUCAAAUGCAGUGAGUAAUAUCACCACACCUAGUGACUAUCAGUGGUAUUUUAACUUGCAUCGCAUCCCAUCUCAUAAGCUUGACAAGCUUGUAUCCAAUAUUUUCCACAAAGAUAAAAUAAGUAAUAUUUUAGACUCAUUUAAUAGUUUAAACCAAAAAAAUAAUAAUAAUAAAAAAUAAAAAGAGAGCUCAACAUGCUCUUUUCUUACUGUUGCUCGUCAUGUUCCCUUUGGUCCCGCCUUCGGAAAUAACGUCAUGGACGCUUCCGAAUGGCUAAAAUUGCCUUGCAGUCCCCUGCUGUGUAUGCGGAACAGAGAUCGUUUUUGAUCAUGCAGCACACGUGUGUUUUAACGCCUUGUAAAAGUAUCCUCGCACAUUUUGAUGUGGCGUUAAUACUCAACGUGCGGCGUUUGUUGGAAGCUGAGGCCCCUAUACGCCAGUGACGUGCUGUCAGGGGAGGCAAGUGAGGCAGUGCCUCACCUGCCAUCAGGUGGCUUAACCAUGAGAUGUUCCAAAAAAAAGUAAUAAAAUGAAAUAAGUUUUAAUACUUCUCUUUUGGUUUAUGCUUUCUAUGUGAUUUUGGCGUGGUUCCUGUAUAUUUUGAUAAUUUUCAUGGUCAAAAUUGCGGAAAUUCAUGUUUCCUGAGCAAAACAAUGCAGCAGAUGAGAAGUGAGGCAGACACUGGCGGUGCCUCCACCACUACACACAGUGUGUAUUGGGCGUGCGUGAGAGGGGGCGCAUGCUUGUUGCCACGUGGAAAAGGCAGGUCUUGAGGCAGCAAGUGCCUCUGCCUCAAAGCUAGGGAGCGAUACAUUGUCAACUUGCAGUUCAAUGCCUCAGCAAUAGUCUGACUUGCCACACUUUUUUGUCAGAUGCAAAAAUAUUGUUUAAUUUCUUGGAAUGAAAUUUAAUUAAAAGAAUGUUUCUGCCAAUAUAGAGGAUUAUAUACUGUAUGCAAGAUUAAAUACUUCUCUAAAAUGGACUUUAAGAUAAAACGAAUGUGAUCAUACAAAGUACGUUUUCAUGGAGGAUAGCUAUUGCUCCUUCAGAUUCAAAUACAGAAAGGUAAUAUACACUUACAAUACUUGAUUUAUUUUGCUAAAAGCAAAUGGGACCAAAAAGUAUUCAACAACAACUUUAUCAAAUAGUUUUUGGACCAAUUUAUCAUAUCAUAAUAUGAUUAUGAUAAAGUUUUUAUGAAAGCGAAUAACUCCCUUUUUUUCCUGUAAAUUUAAUGUGCAACCUAAAUCGACAAUGACUAGAGCUGCACAUAUGAAUUUAAGUUAAAAAAAAAAAGAAGAAGAAAAAAAAGUAUGCAUGCCUCACCUAUGCUAUACGCAUAGGCAUAGUCUGCAUAGUAGGAACGCGACCUUACUUUACAUAACACCCUGCACAGGUUGGGUCUAGUGAUUGCUCAACGCGGAACCACAAGUCACGUGUUUCGCAAGUAUCAGGUGAGGCGGUGUUCUGGGUGAGGGUUUGUCCCCUUGUGCAAUAUAAGAGGUCUGAGAGGUGUAGUCUUGCUGUCCUCCAUUGACAUCUGCAGCAGCAUUUUGAACGACACUGAAAUCCAGACCACUUUGCCAACAUGACCCACGACAUGAAACAGCCACCGAAGCUAAUAUGUGGAAUGGUCCUACUCCAGGAAUGCUUCUAUGAGCAUGCAAAAAAAAGUGGAGACCCCAAUACUUUAACCAAGGGAGAUUUUGCUGAAAUGCUUCGCAAAGACUGCUGCAUGGAUGUCAAGGACGACGACAAAAAGAAGAGCUUCUUCGAUUCUCUGGAUGUCAAUGGGGAUGGUGUUAUCGACUUCACCGAGUUUUGUGUUCUCAUGGCGUCUUUUAUGACGAUAAUGGAGUCUUUGAGACCAUAAUAAAGAAAAAAACACAUCUGGAA